rnacentral:snoRNA from 14 species
GAGAAAUCGUGGUGAUGACUUGGAAAUAUUCAAGCUCAACAGACCGUAAUGUAGGAUUUUUCCUAGUGGAAAGUCUUGCGUGUGUCGAUAAUCCCGCUGAACUGAGCGAUUUCUC